CCCCGCGCGCAGGGGCCGCGCGCGCGCCGGCGGCUGCGCAGUGUCGGCACAUCCGGGCACUGGGGCAGGAUGAGCGCUCCUUUCCAAGAUGGCGGCGGAGGGAGGUGGGAAGGAGAUGAACGAGAUUAAGACCCAGUUCACCACCCGGGAGGGGCUGUACAAGCUGCUGAGCCACUCGGAGUACAGCCGGCCUAACCGCGUGCCCUUCAACUCGCAGGGCUCCAACCCCGUCCGCGUCUCCUUCGUCAACGUCAACGACCAGAGCGGCAACGGGGACCGGCUCUGCUUCAAUGUGGGCCGGGAGCUCUACUUCUACAUCUACAAGGGGGUCCGCAAGGCUGCGGACUUGAGUAAACCAAUAGACAAAAGGAUAUACAAAGGAACACAGCCUACAUGCCACGACUUCAAUCAUUUAACAGCCACAGCAGAAAGUGUGUCUCUUCUAGUGGGCUUCUCUGCAGGCCAGGUCCAACUUAUAGACCCUAUUAAAAAAGAAACUAGCAAAUUAUUUAAUGAGGAAAGACUAAUAGACAAGUCCCGAGUAACCUGUGUAAAAUGGGUACCAGGUUCGGAAAGCCUUUUCCUAGUAGCUCAUUCCAGUGGCAAUAUGUACUUGUAUAACGUGGAGCACACUUGUGGUACCACAGCCCCGCACUACCAGCUACUUAAACAAGGAGAGAGCUUUGCAGUGCACACUUGCAAGAGUAAAUCCACAAGAAACCCUCUGCUUAAAUGGACAGUAGGUGAGGGUGCCCUGAACGAAUUUGCCUUUUCCCCUGAUGGGAAGUUCUUGGCGUGCGUGAGCCAGGAUGGUUUUCUUCGCGUGUUUAACUUUGAUUCGGUGGAAUUGCAUGGUACAAUGAAAAGCUACUUUGGAGGACUGCUGUGUGUGUGCUGGAGCCCCGAUGGGAAAUACAUAGUGACAGGCGGAGAGGAUGACCUGGUGACAGUUUGGUCUUUUGUGGACUGUCGAGUCAUAGCGCGAGGCCACGGACACAAAUCGUGGGUCAGCGUGGUGGCCUUUGAUCCGUACACCACUAGUGUAGAAGAGAGCGACCCCAUGGAAUUUAGCGGAAGUGAUGAGGAUUUCCAAGACCUUCAUUUUGGCAGAGAUCGAGCAAAUAGCACGCAAUCCAGACUGUCCAAAAGGAACUCUACAGACAGUCGUCCAGUAAGUGUUACGUAUAGAUUUGGUUCGGUAGGCCAGGACACACAGCUCUGUUUGUGGGAUCUUACAGAAGAUAUCCUCUUCCCCCACCAACCUCUGUCAAGAGCAAGGACACAUACAAAUGUCAUGAAUGCCACAAGUCCACCUGCAGGAAGCGGUGGAACUAACCCAGGAAGUAAUGGAAACAGUAUCACAACACCUGGAAACUCUGUACCCCCUCCUCUUCCACGGUCAAACAGCCUUCCACACUCUGCAGUCUCAAACGCUGGCAGUAAAAGCAGUGUCAUGGAUGGUGCCAUUGCUUCUGGCGUUAGUAAAUUUGCAACCUUAUCGCUACAUGAUCGGAAGGAAAGACACCAUGAAAAAGAUCACAAGAGAAACCAUAGCAUGGGACAUAUAUCUAGCAAGAGCAGUGACAAACUGAACCUAGUUACUAAAACCAAAACGGACCCAGCUAAAACUUUGGGAACACCUCUCUGUCCCCGAAUGGAAGAUGUUCCCUUGUUAGAGCCUCUUAUCUGUAAAAAGAUAGCACAUGAAAGACUGACUGUGUUAAUUUUUCUUGAAGACUGUAUAGUCACUGCUUGUCAGGAGGGAUUUAUUUGCACAUGGGCAAGGCCUGGUAAAGUGGUAAGUUUUAAUCCUUAAUGCUGCAUCAAAGAGCUAGAACUCUGAAUAGAUAGUUUUCUUGAAAUAUAAUGAAUGUUGAAUAUAAAAUUUCUUUAUGCUUAAUGUAAAAAAAAUAUCCUCAGAGCCAUACUUUUGGAUACUGCAUGCCAUAUUUCUGAAUGAUUUGAAGUGUCUUGGAUACAAUUAUUAAAUAUAGUUGCCUUCCAGCAGAAGAAAUAAAUACUGUGCAUCUAAACUAUUGAUCAGUGUUCUUAUACUUAAGCAUAACCACAAUAUGGUGAAAGCUAUUUAUGUAAAAAUUGAAGUAAAACCUGUCAAACACUAAAAUAAUCAUAAUCCUUCUAAUGUUUUCUAAAAAAUAAGCACUCCCAAUGAGAGUAGCUUAUGAAAAGCUGCUGCUUCUAAGUCUAAUGAGAAACGUGAGCCUCUGAAAAAGUGAAAACCAAAGUGUUUUAUUCCUCCAUUCUUUUCUGUGGUGGCCUGCCAUUAAUGUGAAACCACUUCUUAUUAAAACAUCAGCCAUUUUAUGCACAGAUUUGUGAGCCCUGUACUGACUGUAGUUUAUGCUCUUCAAUUGUGAAUCAGUAUUAACAAGGAACUCUAAUUAUAGCCAGGUUUUGAUUUAUGUAUUUAAGUUAGGGAAAAUCCUGCAAGCUUUCUCUCAGUAGGUUCAGUGUUCUGUUCCUGUCAGGUUUGUUAAGGCAGUUCAACCACUACAAGCUCGUGUUUUUGAUGGCACCUGUUCCAUCAGCUGAACCUACAUUAGUCUAUUACUAGUUUUCACUCUUGUUGUUGAUGCACUUGAACACCUAUAUUUUUUUAUUUUUCUUCUGUCCAAUGUAUAGAUAGCUAAAUUUUGACUGAAGCUAAAUGUGGUGAUUCUAACAUUAAAAAGUUCUUUGUGCUACAAUAGCUCUGCUUGCCAGCAACAGUUCAAAGGAAUACAGCUAUGAGGACAUUUCCAGAGUUGAUCUGAGAAAAAGGACUAUUAUUUUUGUGAAAAUUUCUGAAAGGAGAUGUAGACUAUCACCUGAAGUGAGAGAAAUGAUCUGGUAAUACCUGAAUAAUCCCAUGUUGAGCAACUUAAAUGAAAAUCUGUUGUUUGUUAGAUUUUAACCAUUUGGUUCAUAAAUCUGACUUUUGAAGUAGAGGUACUGUAUAUAUUUAGAUACCACAUCUUCAUUACUAUAAACUUGCAAGUAAAACUCAAUUAUUUUUCUUAAAAUUGUUUGUAUAAUGUAGGCUUUUUUGAGAUCCUAUCAAAUUUGUCUCAACAUACGUGUGCGUAAAAAUCUGUGUCUGCUCUGCAUCUUAAUGCAUAUUUAAAGGUUGAAUCUAAAACUUAAAAUUGAAAACCCCUUUAUGGGAGAAGGGAGGAGGGUGUUACCUAAAAGUAUUUUUUUGCCUGAGAACUACAAAUCCAGCAUUAAUUAAAAAAAAAAAAGCCAACACUCCCUUAAACACUAAACUAUUUAAAAUGUUUGCUCAAAAUGGAAGUAUUAAAGCAAUUAUACUUUUGUGACUCAGUGCACUUCACAUCUUAUUAAUUACAGCAGUGCCUCAGAUUGCUAUUGUGAGCUACAUUUUCUUUUUGUUCUAAAACUUUUUUGAAUACUAUUGAACACUACACUGUCACAUUUAUUUUUCAGUGGCUGAGGUGGGUUUUGUUAGACUGAGUAUAACUUAAAUAUUUUUGUGUAUUAACUUUGAUUUGGAAUAUGACAUUUCAAAUAUUUCAGAGAUAAAGUAUGCAGUACCAAAAAUCAGGAUUUAUGUAUUGGCCAAUAUGGAAAACUUUAACUACAGAGUAAAAGCCUCUGAAUCUUGCUGCUGCUUCCAUCAUUGCCUCAGAAGGCCUUCAUUAAAUUGAUGCCACUGCCAGCCUGAAGAAAGAAUUGGAUGGAAAAGCAAAGGAGGCUUGCAGUGUCUAAUGUAAUUUCCAUUGAGCCAGUGCUACCUCUCCCUCUCAUUUCCAACAGCCAUCAAAACAUGUGCUGGAUAAUUUGACAGUGUAUGACAAAUUCUGUUUAUUUUUCUGGUUGGGCUUGGGCUGCCCUGAGUGGAAAAUAAAUCCAGAAGUGUCUGUUCAGCCGUGAUCCCUGUGAUAGUUGAUAGUCUGUACAGUGCUGACGUUGUCCUGACAGUUUGUUUAUAAACUUUCCAAAUUACUGCUUCAGUGUGUACAAAAUCAUACCUUGAGCUUCCUCACGGGAUGUGCUGUUCUUGCAUUGCACUUCCAGAACUGCUCUGCCAACUCCCAGUCAGUGAAGUGAAGUGAAUGGCAAAAUUCAAUUAGAAACAAAUUGGAUGAGGUUCAGGGUUCAUUAGUUUCAAUUUUUUAUUCUUUUUUUUUUUUUUUUUUUUUUUUUGUGAGCUGGUUUCUGUGAAAGGUUCAGGGUGGUCAGAAAAAUAGGUUGCCUUAACAAGAGUAUGAGCUUUUCUCCUCAACAUGGUGACAAUUAGCUGUCAUCUCUCACCCCUGUCUUUGCCAGGCCCUAAUGGGAAACCUAAACAGGAUUACAGAACUGUUGGAUUAAUCUAGAAAUAUAGAAACAGAAUUUGGAAGGAAGAAAAGUAAACUUUAUUGUGCUAUCUUUAUAGCUACAUCAAUCUGAAUUACAGGAUCUGCAGAAGCAAUUAAAAAACCCCAACAAAAGCAAUCCACAAAACCCCAAAGUGGUACUUGGAUAUGCAAAGUAAGUUUUCUCUGAACUCAGUGGUCAGAGUAACUACUUACAUGAUUUCUGUGUUGGGCUUCAGAAUUCACUGUUCACUGUCUGUACAGUGACUCCAUUUUCUGGGAGUGAAAGUUGCUGGGGAGUUCCCUGUGUCAGAAAGCUCAAGGUAAGAUUGGCCAGAAGCACCCCCAGGUGAAAUGGCAGUGUAUAACCUAGCAAGAGAAACAUCCUACCACUUUGUAAAACAAAUGCACAUGGAAUUUAUUUAUUUGACUUAUUGUACAGGAAAACUUAGACUUAAAUUAUAACAUCCUUGAAUUUUCUAGUUAACUACAAUUGUAGUACAGUAUCAUGUUUUAGUAUGGCUUCUGUUUUAGUGAAAGUACUUAAACAUUCAUGUACUAUAUUUGAGUGAGACAAGCAGCUAUACAUACUAAUUCUUCCUCAGUGGAAAGGAGCAUUUCAUCAUUACAAUUGAAGUUCAAUUGCUGGUAUUUAAGUACUAUCAAAUAGAUUUCUUUCAACGUGAUACGGUAUCUGUAUAACCUUCAGGGAUGAUUAUAGUUAAACUGAAACACAGCUAUACAACUUCAGGUUACCAUGCUAAAAUUUGAAGCUUUCUGUAAUGUGCACAAUAGCAAAGUUGCACAUGGCAUACCCACAUUAUCAGGGUGAAUUAAACCUAGAGUACACUGGUGUGAUAUUUAUAGCAAGGUAUGUGUGUGUGCGUGUGUGAGGAGGUGUGACAAGUGGCUCCAGUACAGCCAGGAGAGAUCAUAACCCUCUAAAGGCUUUAUGAUGAGGAUGUCUGGAUUAGGAAAUAACAUGACUUUUACUAAACGCUUUCUAGAAAACCCAUGUUCUGAAUUAUCACCUCUUAAAAUUUGAGUAUGUACUUGGAAUGACUGUAUAUGUCUGCCCCUUUAACAACAUAAAACUACUAAAUUAAUAUUUAAAAUGCUGGCCUGCUUAUGUUACGAUAAUAAAAUUUGUGUCAGUUAAUUUACUGUCAAUUUACAUGUAAAGAUUAAACUAUUUUUUCUGCAUUUUAUGAUUCUGUAUACUGGAGUUUGUUAAAGAUUGACAUGUUAGGUGAUACUGUACAAAAUUGUAUUGACUACCUUUAGUGAAAAUCAAAAGUAAAAUUCAUAUGUAUUUCCUUUUUACACUUCCAUCUAAUUUCUUGACAACUUGAAUAAAUUUCAUAGAGCCUUUCUAACAUGAACUAUUGUUAAUUUAACUGUUGCAAUAAUUAAGCUUUAAGAAGUAUUGUUGGUAUAUUUAUAAUUUUAAGAAGAUCAUGUUUGUUUCAUACUGCUUAUUUUUAGCUGUUCUAUUGUCACUGUUACAGCUGAAGAACUUUACUAAAUACUUGACAUUACAAAAUAACUUGCUGGGGUUGUCCUCUGUAUACUGAUGUUAAAUAAAAAUGUGUGAUUGAACUGUAAAUGUAGAUAACUUUCAAUAGUCCUUUCCACAUUUGAGUUUUAAUUUAUCUUGCAGUGCUUAGGUGGUCUUAUGCUCUCACACUGUGCUGAACAAAUGGCCACAAUGAAACUGUUAACUUGCCAUGCUUUAAAGUAAGAAGUUGAUCACAUCUGUAACCUGCUCUGAGAAAAUGUUUCAUCUCAAGACUAUGCAGAUGUUUUGAUGUUUAAAGCUUGCUGAUAAGGUCAUGA